CAGCAGACACAUUCCAGCCAAUCAGCAGCAGACCCUCCCUCCCAGACCCUCCUACCUCCUGGACAGCAUCCAUUUUACAUUCAUUGUGAGCUGUCCAGGAGAUGGGAGGAUCUGGGAGGGAGGGUCUGCUGCUGAUUGGCUGGAAUGUGUCUGCUG